AAUUAUCAACUGCUUCAAUUUGUUUUGAAGUGAAGUUGGAUUUGGAGGUGUUUGCUGGCUUUGUUCAGCUCCUCUCAAAAGCAUUAAAACCAUAAUGUUGCAUGGUGUUGAAGUAUCUUUGACGUGAUAAUUAUCUAUGUCGUAGAGAAAGCCUUGCUUUUACUUAUUGGUUUAUAUCAACACAUUGAUCA
rnacentral:misc_RNA from 1 species